rnacentral:rRNA from 1 species
AAUUUGUGACAAUGGGUGCAAGCCUGAUCCAGCCAUGCCUCGUGAGUUAAGAAGGCCUUCGGGUUGUAAAGCUCUUUCGGUCGGAAAGAAAUUGCGCAGGCUAAUACCCUGCGCGGAUGACUGUACCGUCAUAAUAAGCACCGGCUAACUACGUGCCAGCAGCCGCGGUCGUACGUAGGGUGCGAGCGUUAAUCGGAUUUACUGGGCGUAAAGCGUGCGCAGGCGGGUGAAUAAGACAGGCGUGAAAUGCCCGGGCUUACGCUGGGAACUGCGCUUGUGACUGGUCAGCUAGAGUACAGCAGAGGGGGGUGGAAUUCCACGUGUAGCAGUGAAAUGUGUAGAGAUGUGGAGGAACACAGAUGGCGAAGGCAGCCCCCUGGGCCGAUACUGACGCUCAUGCACGAAAGCGUGGGUAGCGAACAGG